rnacentral:rRNA from 1 species
AGAGUUUGAUCCUGGCUCAGGACGAACGCUGGCGGCGUGCUUAACACAUGCAAGUGGAGCGACGAACCGGGGCUUGCCCCGGGGCAGAGCCGCGAACGGGUGAGUAACACGUGGGUAACCCACCCCGAUGAUUGGGACAACCCGGGGAAACUCGGGCUAAUACCAAAUGUGCCCAAAGACCAUGAGGUCCUUGAGUAAAGAUAGCUUCGGCCUUCGCACCGGGACGGGCCCGCGGCCCAUUAGCUUGUUGGUGAGGUAACGGCUCACCAAGGCGACGAUGGGUAGCUGGUCUGAGAGGACGAUCAGCCACACUGGGACUGAGACACGGCCCAGACUCCUACGGGAGGCAGCAGUGGGGAAUCUUGCGCAAUGCGCGAAAGCGKGACGCAGCAACGCCGCGUGGAGGAAGACGGUCUUCGGAUUGUAAACUCCUUUCAGUUGGGACGAAGCUCAAGGGGUUAAUAGCCUCGKGGAGKGACGGUACCUUCAGAAGAAGCCCCGGCUAACUACGUGCCAGCAGCCGCGGUAAUAC